CAGUGAGAGGUUUUUGUACGGCGGCUCAAUGAGUUUGUGUCACUGUGGUGGACUUUUGGUGGAGGAACCAGACUGGAUGUUGGAAGUGAUGUCCGUCCCACCCUGACGGUGCUGCCCCCCUCCAGUGAGGAGCUGCAGCAGGGGAAGGCCACGCUCAUGUGUCUGGCCAACAAGGGCUUCCCCUCAGACUGGAGUCUGGCCUGGAAGGUGGACGGCAGCAGCAGCAGCAGCAGCAGCAGCAGCUGGGAGGAGAGCAGGAGCCCUGGGGUGCUGGAGAAGGACGGCCUCUACAGCUGGAGCAGCACCCUGAGGCUCCCUGCAGACCAGUGGAGGAAGGUGGGCUCUGUGACCUGUGAGGCCACCCAGGGCUCCCAGACUCCACUCUCAGAGACACUGAGGAGAGACCAGUGUUCCCAGUCCUGACCUGACUCACUGGGACUCUGCUGCUGGUUUUACUCUGCUACUGCUCUCAGUCUGCUCUCUGUCUCUCUCAUGACGUUUCAGUGUGAACAUGUUCUUGCUUGUGUUGAUGGUUUCAAUAUCUCAAAGCAAUAAAGAUUUGAUCAAAUGUA